CAAAUGUACUGACAUCUUCAUAUAAUUAACAGCAUAUAAUACAUCUUCAUUCAUCUCUGCUUUGCAAACAUUCCAUUCUGUUUCCUGUGAAAUGUAUCAAACAGUGUUUUUAAAGAAUAUAUAAGUCAGGAAGGAUUGGGUGUUAGACACUGGCACAAAGCAAACACAGGUUUAGGAGACACAUGAAGAAUAAUGUGGCUCCUGACAGCAUAUGGGUCUGCAUUUGUCGGUCAGGGCCUGAUCCUGUGAAUUGCUGAACUGAAUUAAUUAAGAACCUAAGAUACCAUUAAGUUCAUGGGAACUGACAGUGCUCAGCAGUACUCAGUGUUGGAGCCCUUAAAUAAAAGCCAACCUACAAAUUCCGAUUCAUGCGAGUAACAAUAUUGCACACAUCUACAGUGGGCACAUGAAUUAUUCACAUCAGUGUAGCAUGAAAGAUGCAAACGGCAAAGCCUGUUUAAAAUAACACACAAACACUCAGUGUUUCUGUGAUAUGUGGGAGGGUUAUCAUUUGGCCCAUUUUUCACUCAUAUGCAUAUUCCUUUUAUUUGCUGUAUGUAUAAGUCUGAUAUGAGGAUGUGGAGAAAAUAAAUACAGGAAAUAGACAUCUAAUAAACAUUAGUAGAAAAUGAGGAAAGGAGGUUGCUCAUUAGCAUUCCUCCCAUAUGAAACUACUAGAUUGUAUCAGAGAAAUGUGAGUUAAGUGUUUUACCGUUCUUUUUUUUUAACCAUUAUCUGAUCAGAGAAGCAUGAAAAGCACUUUAUUGCCUUUUUUUUUAUCCCUGUGCUAGGAGCCCUCUGCAGGAAGUGAAGCUGAAUUUCACAAAUCUUCCCUUUCUGACGUCUCCCGAAUUUCUAGGAAUACCCCUUCCCUGUUACUAUAUUUGGUGGUAGUUUCUAGGAAAAAAAAUAAUUUUCGGACGGUCUUGGACUCACCACACCUCCUGUCAGAGGACUGUGCGCCCCGGGUCUCCUGGCACGGCCCCCGCGGAGUUGAGAAGCUCACGGCUCGGGCUCACAACUCCCGGCGCAGACUGCACGUCUUUGUAGCACUGUUGGAGGAAUGAGCAUGGAGAAGGAGUGGGAAGGGGAGAGGUGUCUUUGUGGCAACAAUGAGUGAAUCUUCUCUAGUUUUUUUGUUGGUUUUUUUUUUUUUUUUUCCUGGCGGCUGCUCUUUUAUUUUUUUUUCUCCCUGCACUUUUUUUUCUUUUUUUUUUUCCCCCCCUUUUUUCAAGGAAGAGGAUCCUAAUGAAAGAAAAAAAAAAACCUCUGGAUUUUUUUUUUUCCCCCUCCGCUUCCCCCUCUACCCCUCCCCUUGAUGUGGCCUCUUGUUUAGCUUGUGGCGUGACCGUGAUGAAGAAAUGUUUCAGGGCGCCUGGCAGGGUGAUCUUUUUAUGUAAUGAGUCAGGAUUUUGCCAACGGAAGGAGCCGGCUCGGAGCGAGGACCGGAGGGCUGUCUCCUUUCAAGAACGGGGACCUGCCCGGCGAGCGGCUCCCUGUGCUCGGGACCCCCGCUCGCUGCGGGCGCCGAUCCAUUCCCAUUCCCGGCUGGCGGGGGCACCGCCGCGGGCACUGACAAGUGGUGUCACCCACAAGAUAGCAAGAGAUGGUGAACUGCUGGAUCUUGAGUUUCAUCUCAUCCGACUCCCAAAGAGAAUUUCCUUCAUCACUGUCAAUAAUGGAACUGAAAAACUGCCCACAACUCUGUUGACAAACAAAACAGUCAUUCUUUAAUGACACAGUUUUAACUGAUUUCAUUGGAAGCUAAUAUGAGCAGAGAAUUAUUUUUUAUAUAUACCCUUGAACAGCAAAUCCACAGAGUGUAUUACAAUUCCUGUAAUAGCAAGUUUAUCUCAUUGCACAAAAAAAUUUUAACUUUUCUAAUGAAGCACGAUAUUGGGUGGUAUUGACAUUAUUACAUAUUUUCAUCUUUUUAUGGAGAGCAGAAAAACGUGUUUUCCUAUUCUGCCUACAGAACACUUGAAAAUAACUAAAUAUUUUAUGCUAAGGCACCAGCCUAUGUCAGUAUUAGAUCAGAAACAUGGAGUUUUAAACAUAUUUGGGAGAUGGGGACUUAGUUUCUGUUCUGUAUGAUGAUUCUGCAUCUCCCAGUCCUGAUGUAUGUGUUUAACCCUUGGGUAUUAAAAGGUUGGAAAGAACAAAUCAUAAAUUAAAGGUGCUGUACCUGAUUUUGAAAUAUUUUUUAGGCUGUAAAUAAUUAUUGCCAAUCUUUAGCAUCAGGAAUACAGAAAAAUUUGGACUGAGAAAAGGCAUGGGAACAAAGAAAAUAGAAGAGUAAAGCAAAGUUUCUAGACUUCAGGCCACUUGCCAGCUACUUCUUACAUCAACUUUCAGUUCUGCUGCUUGCUUUGACUGUAGCAAAAAGAUAAACAUUUUCUUGUUGCAAGUUAACAAACACUGCCAUGCGUGACAAGUUGAUAAGGGGUAUUACGAGUUGUAUCAGGAGUUUAUUAGUUAUUUGAGCAAGAGAUAAACAUGGUAGAAAGUUCUGAUGUGCUGCUGAAAAAUUAAAAAUAACUAGUCAAUGCCAAAAACAGUUCAGCUGAAAAAAAGGUUUCUAUUCUUAGUGACUAGAGCUUUCAUUGCUAUAGACAAUUUUUCCUUCUGUUUGUAGUAAAUUCCUCAAUGUGUCUGCCUCCCUUGCAAAUUUACACCACUGCUCUGAGUCUGUAUUUUCAGGUGGUACAGAUAUAGCAGUCUGAAUUCUACACUCAGAAGGAACUCAAAGUCAUGGCACAACAGGCAGAAUUUGGUUUAGUGAUUUAGUCACUUCUGUUUGGUGUAUUUUGACAUUAACUGUAGAUGUUGAGAUCUUGUCUCCAUGUUUUUGUCUGUUGUAGUUAUUGAAAACUAAAUACAAUGUAUUUAAGUAUCCUUUGAUUUAGAAUUUGCUUAAUUAAAUUUUUGCCUCAUUAUUUUUCUACAUGCCUUACAACAAACUGAUAGCGUUUGACUCUUGAUAUGUUCACCAAAUUUUUAUUUGAACUAAGAUCUGCCAAAACAAAUAUUAAAAAUCCUGCCAUACAUCCCAAAUGUCACUUUUAGUUUCCUUUUUGUAAGGCAAUGCAGUAUAAUAUAAACAAGGAAAAACAAAGAGAUAACACAGUGAUGUAGGAUCAGAGUUUACUGGCAAAACCUGGAUGUGUGUAUAUUAACCACAGAUGAUAAAAACAUAAGCAAAAAGGUUUUCCUAGAUUGCAGGAAGAGACCUAUAUCCUACACUGAAAUGACUUUUUUGUAUCUUUUAUUUUAUUGAAAACUUAUUUUAGAAAAUUUUUUGGGGUUUUUUUUCCCCUUAUUAAAGUAACUGUACUAUUCUAUAGUCCCUUUCCCCCACUAAGACAGACUUUAAGGCACCGUUGAUAUUUGUGGUAUGCCAGUUUUUAUGGUUCUAGAGAAAUAAUAAUAACACAUUUAGGAGAAAAUUCUGACAUUUUGUCUGGCAAAUGUUGUUACACUUUGUCAAAGGCAUAAGAACUUAUUUUAAUAUCCUGUCUCACAAUAUGGGGUAAAAAGGACAAGAAAAUUAGAAGAUCAAAUGUACACUUUAGCAAGAUUUGAUCAGUGACCAGUCAGGUAAUAUUUUCAGUUAUUUGCAAGACUUCAAUGAUUCCCAGAUGCCUGAAGUAGGGCAAGGGUAAGGACUAGCAACUUCUGGAUUUGCUGGUUGCCUGGCACUGUGGAAUGUAGGUACCUUUGCCCAUUGUACAAGAACAGUGUCCUUUGCCUCGGCUUCCCACUGGGAGCUCACGACUGAAUACACUGACAGUCUUUCAGGACUUCCUUCCUCCUUCACUGAGGGCACAGUCACGGGAGAUGCCUGUGCAGGAUGUUUAUGGAAAAGAAUAAAAAGUUUUACAGCAACUGAAUGCUCAUGAGAGAGUGUCACACAUGUGGAUAUUUGGUGAAAGUAAACACUCCUGUCUGUUUUGAAAGAAAAAGAGCAAGGGCUUUUCUUCCUCUAUUCUUAGACAUUGAAUUGCAUUCUGCUACAAGGCAGAAAUUAUUUAUGUGCAGAUGCUUGGCUUCCUUGAAAAUAUAAAGUUUUCUUGGUAGCAUAUUUAUCCAUCAUAUUAAUAUUAGUCAACUAGGGGUUACUAUUUUUGAAAUUGAACUACUCUGAGGCUAAUAGCACAGAAGUAUUGCUAUUGGCAUGUUAGAUAUUUUCAAUUUACUAAACAAGUUCAAUAUUUUAAUAAAUUAUUUAUCACUCAGUUACUUAUGAAGUUCACAAAUUUAGUUGCUUAUUCUGGCUUCUUAUGAUUCUCCAGUCUAGAAUUUUAAAACUUAGACAACAGACUAGACAGUGACAUGUACAUGUAAAUUCAGGUGUGGGAUAUGGCCUUCAUAAAACAGGACACUAAAAUUUGAGGUCUUUUGAUACAGGAGACUGUUCCACUAUUAAGCAACUGGUGCUAAAAGCAGGUCUAAGAUUCAGAAUGUGAGGAGUCUUGGAAGAUGGUCUAUAAGAUGUACAUUUCAAGUCUUUUGUGAAGUUAAAAGCUUCUUGCAGUGCAAUGAAAUUCCUCCGAAGUGUGUGGUAUUUAGCAGCAGCAGACCUUUGUGUUGUGACAAUCAGCAGAUCUCUGUUUUGUCAAAGUCUAUAUUGUGAUAAUCUCCAAGUAACACAUCUUACAAAACUACUGUACCUUGACUGUGGCAUGAAGCAAGUAAGCAAGGAUACCAAUGGAUUCUUAUGGGAAUUUAUGCAGGCCUGUGCCAUAAAUAGCAACCUGUGGGAAUGCAGGAACAAGAAGAAAUGUCCCAGAGGAGCUGACUGGCUGCCUACAGGAGCACUACACUGCUUAAAGAAUCGACUGUCCUCCAACUUCACACCAACAACUCAGCUGAGGGUAUUUCCUAAUAGAUCACAUAUGGAAAACACAGAAAACAGACAGAUAGCAUUUGGGUUCUGAGGUUUAAGAAUAUUUUGCUUGGUCUGUACUGUAAGGAGCUAAUAAAAUGAAGAUAAAAUGGAAGAGAAUAUUAUUUGAUAACAUUUGUCUUAUAUUGAGUCUGCCAGAUUUAAUGUUUAGGGUAGAAUAAAGCUCAUAUAUCAUGAAAGAUCACUUAUCUAGUACUUUAGACUCAUUUUCCUGCCUAAAGCAGAUUUUUUUUUUUUUUUUACUUUUUAAAUUGGGUUCUAUUAGGUUAGUAGGGUCUCACACAUCAUUGCAAAAGUAAUCUACAAAGGCACUUCAAGGACUCCUUCAUUUAAAACAAUAGGCCAGCAGUAUGUUUUUGUGGGUUUUGGAUUAUUUUUUGAGGAUGCAUACUGGGAGCAGGCCCUGAUUCUGAAACUCCUCAUUUCAGAAUGGGUUGGAGGGAAUUCUGUUUAUUUGGAGGUGGAGAAACUGUUCUGAAGUAAUGGCUCUGAGGUGGUGCAGCAGGAGCACUGCACAGGAAUUCAUCCCAUCUGGUGUUUAUCUUUGCUCAGAUAAUGCACCUAAUCUGCUCUUACAUCAUGUAUUCCAGCCGUGAUUAGAAUUACAUAGAGUUCCUUCUGAAUUUUAAAAAUAAUAUAGUAUGAAUUAAGAAACCUCACAGAUUAUUAUGAAACAGACAUGAAUCUUGCAAUAUAUAAAUUGCAAGAAAUAAAUAGCACCUUUGAUGCAAAGGUGCUACUUAGUUGUACUUGUAGGCUUACCUUGUACAAAUAUCAUUUGAUCCUCUACAUUCAAAACUGUACAUUUCCAUAUUUAAAUUGUUUUAAUAAGACACGUGUUAGUUAGGCAUUGCUAAACACAUAUUAUGUUCUUGAGUAAUAAUUCAGUCUUUAUUACUGCAGUAAAAAAGCUCCAUGCCACAAGAAUUGGGUAGCAAAGAGGAUCUUCCCAAAUCCAUACAACCCAAGUAGUGUCAGAAUCAUUCUUCUAAGUAUGUGCUGCUCCAGUAUGUGGUUUUUAAUCAUUAAAAAGUGCAGUCUUUUGUAACUUGAAGAUAAGGACUUUAAUGAGAAUUUUUGUGAAUGUAUUACUUUCCUGUUAUAAUACUUGGAACGCUUUGUUAAUCCUAUGUGCCCUAAAUCAGGACCUCCUAGUAAAGCAGCAAAUGGAAUGUAAAGAUGAAUGGAACUGAAAGAACGUCCUCUUCUAUGGAAAAAAAUACUACAGAGCUGAAUGGUAAGUUCUUUACAAAGGCAUAUAAACUGAGGAGAGUAUCAGAAAGAACUCCUACAGAGCAUGACUAGUUUAGUUAUUAGUGAAGUAACAUAUUAAAAAAAAUCAAAAAUCUUUAUCAAGUGAUUUUUGAUUAUAUGGAAGUACAUUAUCUGUACUAUAAAUUAAAUAUCUAUUUCUACUUAAUUUUUAGAUUUACAGCCAUAUAGAUUGUUAGCCAAGGUCUAAAUGUAAGUGAUUAAAAUAAUGAGCAAACAUUUCAGAAUGCAGGUAAUGUAUUGUACGUGGUUCUAUCUCAUGGCAACAAAUUAUCACUUAAGGACCAAGACCUAACCAGUACCUAUUCAGUUAUAUAUAGCUAUAUAUACACAUUUCUGGUUUGCUUUAGUAGAUGCAAAGGAAAUACUACCCCUUUUCUAUGAAACCCGCAUUUUAAUGUUUUUAGGGUGACUUAAAAGCUUAACGCCCCUAAAGACCAUGUCUGGUUUUGUAGGUAAGUUCAGAUUCAGAGUUGAAUCUUUCAAAACUCAGCAAAUUCCUCUUUGAAUCCUACCUACCUUAGAUGCUUAUAAUGUGAGAGUAUAAAUAACUAUUUGACAGUACCAUUACUCUUCACUGAUAAACAGUCCUCUUGUUUAUCAUGAUCCCUAGAUUUUAGACACCCAUAGUAAGGAAGGAUUAUUUAUCCUUAAAGUCACUACGUUCCUUAGAGGAUUAAAAAAUGAAAAGUCAGCACAUCAUUUUUCUUACAUACAAGAUCAGAAGAAAUCCUGAAAAAAGGGAGUAUUCUAAUAUUGUCUCAUUGUGGCUGCUUAUUCUAUUUAUGACACCACUUUAUAAAGUGCACAAAUCUAUUCCUGCAACCUACAGAUACUCUGAAUGACAAAAUAAAAUUGAGCAUGAAUAUAGAAAACAUCAUGUAUUUAUCAUGCAGAAAUAAUUUCCACCUAUAAACACAUUCUAAAUUGAACUAGACAAGGCUAAUAUCACAUAAAAAAUAAAGCAACUAGACAUUUAACUCACAGGAAGUAACAUGAUCAAAGAUAAAGUCUAAAUGACAGAACAGUCAGUAAUUGUCUCUGUAAAAUUACUGUCAGUAAGAUUUUUAUGUCAUUAUUAUCAUAUUGGUAAAACUUUCACAGUAUAAAAGUAUACAUUAAACAUUGUGUUGUAAAAAUCCCUGUGGUAUUAGUCAAAAAACCCAGCAGAAACAGGCGUCUCUAUUACCUGACAUCUCUAAAAGUCUUUGAAAUCAGAAACUGAUCUGCACAGCCAUAAGUUUAGCAUGCCUGUAAGUAAGUAGACUUGUAAGACCAUUUUGCUUCUAAUGAAAUACAACAAAGUAUUCUUUUGACAGAACAUUCUGUUCUGAGUCUCUAUUUCUAUAUUUCACCCUAAAAAUCACUUUUAUAAAUUGCAAGUGUCACAUAGAUCAGUGUGAAUUAAAAAACAAAUCUCAAUUUAUGAAAAGAGUCUUGAUUUGAAUAAGCCGUUUUGCUUUUAAAUCAACUGGAAACCCAAACCAAAUUCCCUUUAACACCUUCAGUGUGUCUAAACUGAUUUUGGUUUCAUUUCAACAAAGCAAAUAGUACUGGUGAUAGGCAAUAACAUGAAACUGGAGAGAUUUUGGCCAUGAUUCUUGCAGAAUCUGGAGAAUUAGUAAGUCUGAAGUAUGUGAAAGCAGUACAACAGUGAAGGAUUUAUCCAUGCUAACCUUUUCAUGCCUAAUCAUUUACCAAAGUGAAAAGGUUUUGCUGUAUUCAUAAAACUAAAAUCCCAAUUCGUACAACUGUGCUGAACAGGAAGGGUUCCUCUCUUAUUAAAUGCAGAGUGAUUAAAUAUUGGAGACUGUAAAUGCUGGUUGAUAAAAAUGGCUGGUGCCUGUCCCAGAGGAGGCUCUCUCUGGAACACAGACUGAUAGCUGGAUUAACACGCUGAAUAAAUAAGGAUGAUGACCUUCUAGAUAUUACUACUGGCAGGUUUUUUUGUACUCAUUCCUCUGGAAUACUCCUAUUGGUUUAGGAGGAAAGGACACAACAAAUUAACCAUAAAUCCUAUGCUUAAUUCCACAUUUAAACUGGCUCCUCUGCUGCAGCAGGAGUUGCCACUGUAAUGAGAAAUUGUGUGUGUGAGAGCAGCAUCCCACAGCUGUGUAUCUGUACUUCAUACCAAACACUGCCUGGGCUGGCCUGUGAUCUCAGGCAAGAAGGAGAUCGCUUGACUUUCUUAUAAAAAGGCAUGUUGCCUGAUAACUGGAAAAUUAUUUUUGCAUUAUUUCAGUAGUUGGACCAAAUAAAAAGCUGUUGUGAUGUAAUCCCAGAGACGCAUCUCAGGUACUUGCUUUGCGCUGCAGAGCACUGUCAAAUGACUAGGAUAAUCCAGAAAUCAUCUAGGAAAACUCCAUUUUGUCCUUAAAACUUAUGUUCAGAAGUAUUGCUUGUGAUUUAUUGUGGUGUUAUUUCACACUUUACACAACAAAUAACUGAUUCCAUAUUUCAAUUAUACAAAUAUACAUUUUUGUUCAAUAUUUACACUCUUCAUACACACCCAUUAUUAAUGUAACUCUUACUCGCUAUCUUAGAAUGGCUUUAUACCUGUAGCAUAAAGUUUAUCCAUAAGCAAAUGAUAGAAUGAAUAAUGUAAAAAGCACAUUUUCAGUUCAGCCACCUUAAACAAUCACCUACAUGAAUCACUAGGGGUUAGUGACAGAGAACAAUGUAGUACAGUUUGCUGUAAGGUCUUUUAAUUCUUGGAUUUAAGUUUUCUGGCAAAAUGUUCCCUAGCUUGAAUUAACUGUGAUAACCACUUAUUCACCAAAACAAAGAAGUAUACAUUAUACAUACACAAUUCCAUCAGAAUUCCUCAAGUCUUUACCAGCAUGGACAAACUGCAAUGGAAAAACUUUAAAGGAUUUACUGGAAAAGGCAGGCUCCGUUGUUAGCCUAAGAGUCUGUCCUAAAAUGAAAUAGUUUAGUUGAAAUACAUAGGACAAGCCUUCAUGGUGCUCUCCACACUCAGCUUGACUGCAGCCAAUACUAUUAAUCCUCUAAUGUCAUAAAUACUGUAGGAAAGACAUGCUAAUAAAAAAGACAGCACUGACGCCAUUUAUCAUGUAUAGGAAUAUAUAAAUACUGCAGAAAUCUCUCCCACUUUUACAAGAAAAUUAACUUUACAACAGUUUUCUGAGAGAACUGACUAUAAUUUCACUGCAAAAAUAUUUAUACUCUGAAAAUAAAAAUAUUUUUAAAUAACCACAUGGCUUUAGUUAUCAUUGUUAUAUCUAUGUCAGCUUUUAAUGAAAGACUUAUGGAUGUGUUAUUAAUGUUCCUGCUAUCUGUUGUGGGAAGGUUUGAUUUAGUAUUGAAAUAUGCUCCAUUUGAAAAUUGCAUUUCAGCCUAAUUGUCAGAGCUCUAUAAACCUGGAUUGGUUUGAUAUCUAAAAUGGCUUAUAGCAGGGAAAAAUGGGGAUCUCCUAAUUAAGGCAAGCUACAAUGUGAUUAUUCAAAUCAACUACUGUUAACAAAAAUUCCCAAGUUACUUAUAGUUAGAAAAGAUUUACAAAAUAGCUGUUCUCUGAUACAAGCCUGCUCCAGAGCUCUCUGUAGGGAACCCCAAUCUGUUUGUGGAAUUUAAGGGAACUGGUGGAAUUUACAGUCUAUACAUCACAUUCCUAAAAUGUUGAUAAAGACUGAGUUUCAGUUACUUACAUCAAAUUUUUAAAGGUUGUCAAAAUAAAUUCUGCAAAGUAAAACUCAGCAAAAUGCAGCAUUGGUUUUACAAUAAUCUCUAUUUUCCAGGUAUUUGUAAAACUGCUCAACCCAUUUCCAAUUAUGAAGAAAUGCUUUAUAAUUUUGAGUUAUGGAUAGUGGCAAUACUCAUAAAGAAGCAGACAAUAAGUAUAGUAAUGGUUUUGGUUCUAAAUCUAAAUCCUAAACCUGUAUAACAUUGUAGAAGUAGUUUUUAUUUAUGAUAUAUAAAUGCGUUAUUCUUCCUUGUGCAAGCUGUGCUUUUGCAAGAAGCCCUGUAAUCUUCAUUGAACACAAUUCAGUGAUGGAACUCCACAGAGGAACAGGACUGCCUGGAUACAAUGCCAUGCAGAACUGAGGAGUUUUUAUUCUUUUUAUUCAACAGAAAAUAAAUAAAAGUAUAUUUUGCUAUUGUUUUACAAUGCUUAUGGGAAAAUUAAAAUAUAUAAAUUUUGUCAUAAUCCUCAUUUUGCUUAUUCUUUUCUUAUGGGAAAAAUAUUCUAUUAUUUUAUUUAUUUGAAUAAAAAGUUAUUUAAAGCUG